rnacentral:snRNA from 1 species
AUACUCUGGUUUCUCUUCAGAUCACACAAAUCUUUCACCUUUUACUAAAGAGUUCCAUGGAAAGGAACAAUUCUGAGUUUUUCACACCGAGUUUUUUGAGCCUUGCUUUUUCAGUGCU